AUCGCUUCUCGGCCUUUUGGCUAAGAUCAAGUGUAGUAAUCUGUUCUUAUCAGUUUAAUAAUCUGAUAGCGUCCCCUAUCUGGGGACCAUAUAUUUAAAUGGAAUUUUGGAACAGGGAGAUGGAAGAAGAGCUUGCUCUGUCCACUCCACGCAUCGACCUGGUAUUGCAGUACCUCCAGGACCGGUGCACCUCUC
rnacentral:snRNA from 1 species